ensembl:snoRNA Gm24896 small nucleolar RNA SNORA16B/SNORA16A family
AUUUAUUCUUAACAAAACUGCAGCUGCUUCUGGUUAGCUUCUUUGGUCACAAAGGAGACCUGGAGUAAAUCAGUUCCUUGAGAGAAUUAUGAUUCUGUUUGCUCUGACUGAUAUACAUUUUGGAAAAAGGUAUUU